GGGGAACUCUGACGCAGCAACGCCGCGUGAGGGACGAAGGCUCUUGGGUCGUAAACCUCUGUCGACAGGGAAUAAACGGUAUACGGCUAAUAUCCGUAUGCUCUGACGGUACCUGUGGAGGAAGCACCGGCUAACUACGUGCCAGCAGCCGCGGUAAUACGUAGGGUGCCAGCGUUGUUCGGAAUUAUUGGGCGUAAAGCGUGCGUAGGUGGAUUGAAAAGUCAGGUGUGAAAUCCCGCGGCUUAACUGCGGAAUUGCGCUUGAAACUGUCAGUCUUGAGGAUGGAAGAGGUAAAUGGAAUUCCUAGUGUAGAGGUGAAAUUCGUAGAUAUUAGGAGGAACACUCGUGGCGAAGGCGGUUUACUGAUCCACUCCUGACACUGAGGCACGAAAGCGUGGGUAGCAAACAGGAUUAGAUACCCUGGUAGUCCACGCUGUAAACGAUGAGUACUAGGCGUGGGAGGUUUUGACCCCUUCCGUGCCGACGCUAACGCAUUAAGUACUCCGCCUGGGAAGUACGGUCGCAAGAUUAAAACUCAAAAAAAUUGACGGA
rnacentral:rRNA from 1 species